rnacentral:rRNA from 1 species
UACGGAAGGGGCAAGCGUUGUUCGGAAUCAUUGGGCGUAAAGGGCGCGUAGGUGGUUCUGUAUGUCUACCGUGAAAGCGUACGGCUCAACCGUAUUUUGUCGGUAGAAACUGCAGGACUUGAGGCUGGGAGGGGCUGGUGGAAUUCCCUGUGUAGCGGUGAAAUGCGUUGAUAUCCACAGGAACUCCGGUGGCGAAGGCGGCACGCUGGACCUUUUCUGACGCUGAGGCGCGAAAGCCAGGGGAGCAAACGGG